rnacentral:misc_RNA from 1 species
GACGGAGGGCGCAAGCGUUGUUCGGAAUUACUGGGCGUAAAGGGUUCGUAGGUGGUCAACUAAGUCAUACGUGAAAUCCCUCAGCUUAACUGGGGAACUGCGUCUGAUACUGGUAGACUUGAGUGCAGGAGAGGAACGCGGAAUUCCAGGUGUAGCGGUGAAAUGCGUAGAUAUCUGGAGGAACACCGGUGGCGAAGGCGGCGUUCUGGACUGUAACUGACACUGAGGAACGAAAGCCAGGGGAGCAAACGGG